rnacentral:rRNA from 1 species
AGAGUUUGAUCCUGGCUCAGAUUGAACGCUGGCGGCAUGCCUAACACAUGCAAGUCGAACGGAAACGAUGCUAGCUUGCUAGCAGGCGUCGAGUGGCGGACGGGUGAGUAAUGCAUAGGAAUCUACCUAGUAGCGGGGGACAACCUGGUGAAAACCAGGCUAAUACCGCAUAAUCCCUACGGGGCAAAGCAGGGGACCUUCGGGCCUUGCACUAUUAGAUGAGCCUAUGUCGGAUUAGCUAGUUGGUGAGGUAAUGGCUCACCAAGGCAACGAUCCGUAGCUGGUUUGAGAGGAUGAUCAGCCACACUGGGACUGAGACACGGCCCAGACUCCUACGGGAGGCAGCAGUGGGGAAUAUUGCACAAUGGACGCAAGUCUGAUGCAGCAAUGCCGCGUGUGUGAAGAAGGCCUUAGGGUUGUAAAGCACUUUCAGUAGGGAGGAAAAGUUCAAGGUUAAUAACCUUGGGCCCUGACGUUACCUACAGAAGAAGCACCGCUAACU